rnacentral:lncRNA from 1 species
CUUCACUAGAGAACUUGGGAGCACAGAGCCUGGAGCUGGUCAUGAGGUCCAGGGAACCAGCAACAGGCCAAGGGCAGGGGGGCUCCCGAGCUCAGGCCCCACCAGGGCUUCUGUGCCAGUCAGGGAUGUCCUGCACGUUUUGACACUGGUCCUUGCCAGGCUGCUCAACGGGCCAUCGACUGUCCCUAGCUGCGGUAGGAGCACCUCCUGAGGGAGUGAUUUUGGAAGCAAGUGACUGAGUUCUUCUGACACCAUCUCAUGCCACAUCUCUACUGCAGGGGACAGGUGCCCUCCCAGGGCAUAGACCCAAUGGCCCAGGCUCCACAGGGUCAGCCUCAGCGCCAGUCACAGCCAGGACGCCUCUCCACUUGGCUCCCUUCUGGAAGAUGGGAGUCUCCUGCCCAAGCUGGGCCUGCUCACCUGCAGCCCACAGUGCUGGGUCCUGUGCAGAGCAGCACCCGGGCAACAGCUUUCUUGUCACAGGAGCAUCCUGCCUUGGGACUUUGGGCCUAAUUCUGAGCCAAGAAGAGACAGUUGCAAGGAGGUGGCCUUCCUCCCACUAUCCCCAGGGCCAGGUCACUGCUCCUGCUGGACACCUGCUGCCAGCCCCCUGCCACUGUGUGUACCCACUGGUGGUGAAAAGCACUUGCAGGACCUGCCACCUCMUCAGGGGAACUUAGAGCAGAGACCAUGGCCUGCAGUUGAGGGCAGCCCAUGGACAUCCAUGUGGACAGUUCCUGCUGAGAAGUUCCAGACCUUGGUUUGUGGUCACUGGGUGGGAACUUGGGGGGUCCUGUCAGGCCAACCCCUCCUGGGACCUCGUGGCCUCCAGGAAAGGUGUUGGAAGCAGGGCUGGCUGACCARUCAGGGCUGCACCCAGGCCCCCAACUCCCCACCCACCCAGAACUGCCUGAACAGAUGGCCUCGACCACCCACUGCUGAAGAACUCUGGGCGUCUCACAUCCCCUCAGCCCAGUCUUCAGGUGGAGCUGCGGGUGCAGGAAAGCAGGGGCACAGUGGGGUCCUCUGCUCAGGGCUUCCUGGCCUGCAUGCCUUGUCUGGCCGCAGGACAGACCCACUAGUGCCCCGGCCCCCG